rnacentral:rRNA from 1 species
CAAGGGUUCCUGUCCAACGUUAAUCGGGGCAGGGUGAGUCGGCCCCUAAGGCGAGGCUGAAAAGCGUAGUCGAUGGGAAACGGGUUAAUAUUCCCGUACUUGGAUAAACUGCGAUGUGGGGACGGAGCAGGUUAGGUUAUCGCACUGUUGGAUAUGUGCGUUUAAGUUUGUAGGUGUGAAGUUUAGGCAAAUCCGGACUUCUUUAACACUGAGAGAUGAUGACGAGGCUCUACGGAGCUGAAGUAACCGAUACCACACUUCCAGGAAAAGCCACUAAGCUUCAGGUUUAUCUAAACCGUACUGAAAACCGACACAGGUGGUCAGGUAGAGAAUACUCAGGCGCUUGAGAGAACUCGGGUGAAGGAACUAGGCAAAAUAGCACCGUAACUUCGGGAGAAGGUGCGCCGGCGUAGAUUGUAGUCCCUUGCGGGCGAAGGUUGAACCGGUCGAAGAUACCAGCUGGCUGCAACUGUUUAUUAAAAACACAGCACUCUGCAAACACGAAAGUGGACGUAUAGGGUGUGAUGCCUGCCCGGUGCUGGAAGGUUAAUUGAUGGUGUAAUCGAAAGAGAAGCUCCUGAUCGAAGCCCCAGUAAACGGCGGCCGUAACUAUAACGGUCCUAAGGUAGCGAAAUUCCUUGUCGGGUAAGUUCCGACCUGCACGAAUGGCGUAAUGAUGGCCAGGCUGUCUCCACCCGAGACUCAGUGAAAUUGAAAUCGCCGUGAAGAUGCGGUGUACCCGCGGCUAGACGGAAAGACCCCGUGAACCUUUACUAUAGCUUGACACUGAACAUUGAAUUUUGAUGUGUAGGAUAGGUGGGAGACUUAGAAGUAGUCACGCCAGUGAUUAUGGAGUCGUCCUUGAAAUACCACCCUUUAACGUUUGAUGUUCUAACGAAGAUUACGAAACGUGGUCUCGGACAGUGUCUGGUGGGUAGUUUGACUGGGGCGGUCUCCUCCCAAAGAGUAACGGAGGAGCACGAAGGUUUGCUAAUGACGGUCGGACAUCGUCAGGUUAGUGCAAUGGUAUAAGCAAGCUUAACUGCGAGACAGACAAGUCGAGCAGGUACGAAAGUAGGUCAUAGUGAUCCGGUGGUUCUGAAUGGAAGGGCCAUCG